ACACUUACCUGGCAGAGGAAAUACCAUGAUCACAAAGGUGGUUUUCCCAGAGUGAGGCUUAUCCAUUGCACUCCGGAUGUGCUGACCCCUGUGAUUUCCCCAAAUUUAGGAAACUCAACUGCAUCAUUUCUGGUAGUGGGGGACUGCGUUUGCUCUUU